UCCCCUUCCCUGGAGUGCAGGCUGGACUUACUGACUCAUUUUUAAUGAACAGAAUAGAGCAGAAGUGGUAAGAUGUCACUAUGAGAUUAGGCUGUAAAGACUGUGUCUUCAGUCUUGGGCACUCUCUCUCACUUUUGCCCCCUCUUUUAUGUUUCAUGCUGUGAAGUGAGCUGCCAGGCUGUGAACAGCCAGCCCUGUGAAGAGGACCACAGCCAGUGAGGAACUGAAGCCCGGCAACAACCACGUGAGUGAGCUUGGAAGAGGAUUCGUCCUGCAGUCGUGCCUUCCUUCCGGUGAGAUAGCAGCACUGGACUACAAUCUCAGGAGAGAUCCUGAGCCAGAGGCACACAGCUAAGCCACGCCCAGAUUCCUGACCCAAAGAAACUGUGAGAUGACAACUGCUACUUUAAGGACUGACUCUGGAACUGUGUGAGGAACUGUGGGAUUCUACUGACCCUUGGACAGUGCCCCGUAAACAGCUCUCAACUGACCAGCAAAGAGCUGCCUGGUGUGUGGAUGACAGUUCCAAGGUGAACAUCCUGUUUGGAAGGAUGCCACUCUUGAUCAAAGAAGUGGUUCUAGGACCAGAGCCAUAACUACCAGUGUUAGAACCAGGGAUGAUUCCUAAACAAGAAAUUGUAACUAUGUUUUUAAACCUCGUGUCAGAAUUCCUAAGGACCUGAUGGGGUUUCAAUAGAGAAAAAGAGGAGGAGCAAGGAUGGAGGCCUAUGGCAUUCCAGUGUGAAGAGGUGGGAGAGGCGAGAUGAGGAAGAAUCAGCAGGAUCUGAGAAGGAGCAGCCAGAGAGGUAGAAGGACAACCAAGAGAGCAGGUGUCCCAGAAGCCCAGAGAAGACAGUGUUUCAGAAGGAUGGAUGCCAAAUGUUGCUGACAGGCCAAGAACAAGCCCUGGGAUUUGAACACUGGACUUAGCAAUAUGAAGAUAUUCACAGAUGAUGUGCAGGAACAGCAAACAAGAUGAAAAAACUAAUGAAAACUGCUCAGAAAAAAGAAAAGGUUUACUGAUGGGGUGAGCUUAUGUGAGCUACCCAGUGCCAGGACCUUCAAGCAAAGCCAUGGCUUCAACAGGCAGAGACCUACAUCACCUUCUAAGGAAGAAAGAUGAAGAAUAAACUCCACAACAUUUUAAAGCCAAGUGAAACUGCAGCACUUGCACUGCAGUAUAAAUGAAUCAUUGCAAUUUGAGCAAGGGCUAGCAUUAGCUCUGACUAAUGUGAGACUUUGUACUUGAAGACGGGGAGUGAAAAGUGUCUUUAUGUUGGAGAAAGUCCUUAAGAUUGAAGUAUGCUUCAUUUUCCCCCCUAACAGGCAGAAUUUCAAAUAGUAGCCACUUCUGCUUGUCAAAUCCCAUUAAGACUAAUGUCAUAAGUAUGCUGUUUAAUUAUCAUUAUCUGGCCGGGCACAGUGGCUCAUGCCUGUAAUCCCACACUUGGGGAGGGAUGAAAUCCCACACUUUUCAUCCUAGUGAAAUUGUGGUCAACUGACCAGUUCGAAAUGAGGGAAGUGAUUAGACAGGGCUUGGGUAGACUUGUUUCCUCUCCCUAUCCUGGAGCGAAUGUGUUCUUUAAAGUCUGAAUAAUUUUUCCUUGACAAAGGGGUUGAGAAAUCAUCUGAAAGGGGUGGUAAGAUUUCUGAAAUGAGGAGAGGUUUAGAAGGAUACUCCCUUGUCCUUUUUACAAGAGAGUCCAAUAUAGGAUUUUCUAUUCCUUCAGCUGAGAUGAGUAGCUAAAAUAAAUUUGGGAGGUUGAGUCUAUAAGGGGGAACAAAAUAAGCUAUAAAACAAUCUUACUUAUUUGAAUACCUAACCCAUAGCAGCUUAGAAUCUUGCUGUGUAUAUACUAACUGGUUACCUGUAAUAAUGAUAUGACAUUACACCUUUUAUAUAUAGUUUGGGAAAUAUAUUUUUGCCCUUUAUAAAGAAGUUAAUUGAGGUUAAGUGUUAGCAUAUAUUCCAGUUAAACAGUAUUUUCUAAUAGCUACUUUAAAAGAUCAAAUAACCUAGCAAAUGAUAAUUUAAAAGUCAAAUUAAAAUCACUUAAGACCAGUAGCAGUUUAUAAACUAUGACAAUUGAAAUGUACUAUAUUUAACGGUCUCACAUUUGCAAGUGCUGGAGGUAAAAAAAGAAAAAAAAAAGUACUACAUUUAAAAGGUGUCUUCAAACUUUUCUUGAAAAUAUCCAUAGAGAUCAAUAAUUUUGUUAAUAGUUCUUUUGCUCAGAACCAUUAGGGUGAUGAAAUGAGGUCGGGCGCGGUGGCUCACAGCUGUAAUUCCAGCACUUUAGGAGGCCGAGGCAGUCAGAUCACUUGAUCCAGGAGUUUGA